UGGGCAGGCUGCAGAUUCUGCUCCAAGCCUGCAGAAACGCCCGCUGGCUCUUCUUCUUUCAGAAGCCCAAACCGAGCAAGUAAUGAGAUGUGCUGCAGCGGUGUCAUCUGUCCACCAGGUGUCGGCAUUUCCACUGAAUCAGCUGUUUCUUUGGGGUGAAGGACGCACGCCUGCUGGGGGGUUGCAGAGUGUGCGGAUUUGAUGACUGGAUGACUUGUGAACCUUCUGCAAUAUCUCCUCCCAAACGUCUCUGAGAUCAUCUCUCCUAACUCUGUCUCCCAAAUUGAUUUAAGGGCACGCAGAGAACCAGAACCACGAUUAUAAAUGUUUGAAUAGAGUAGCAAUCGUCCUUGUAGUGAUGGGAGAGGUUCCAAGAAGACAACAAGAUCCAUCAAGAUUACUAUUGCUGGAAAAAAACGGUUGUACUGAUAAUAUUUAAACAAUGCACUGGAGAUACGGUGGUCAUUUUUUAGGCUCCAUAUUAAUGAACAAUGAAAGGUCUAGCCAGGACCAGUUAUUGUAGAAAAAGGUACACACCUUUAAAGUGACGAUGAUAUGACAUCUUAUCUUUGCUGCUGUGGUGUAGAUGGAAUAUCCCAAAUACAUGUGCUUGACAUGUCACUACUGUUCAUCCCCUUCAAAUUGAUUUUCACACACAUUUAAAUUAAUGGAAUACUCAACUUGAAAAUGUUAAUUCUAUAAAUUUUAAAACUGUAAAUUAAAGGACAGUGCAACUUUAAACAUCUGCAAACUCCAUCAAGAACUCUAACCUGAACUAUAGAAACACAGUUUGUUUGGGUUGUAAACCAGCUGCUGCAUGAAGCCAAUCACACGUUGCAUUAAUCUGUUGAACAAUUAGGUGAUUUUAAGGUGAACCCAUACUAAUCGUGAUUAUUAAAGGCACAGUAAGGAAUUUUAAACUGAUUUUGCAAUAGUCUCACUUUGGUACAUAGCUUAUUCUAAAAUAUUCUGCACUUCAGUACAUACUUUUAUUAUUAAUAUUUUUAUUGCAUUCCUUUUUCUAUCUUAUUUUAUUACUUAUUAAUAUAAAUAUUCUUUGAUGUUCCCACUUAUUGUGUAUAGGAGCAACUGUAACGUCUGAAUCCCACCCCACCCUGGGAUCUGAUUCUGAUACUGAUGCCUCCUAAUGACUCGAAUAGUAAAAUGAGAUGUCAGCAACAAGAUUUUUUAUUUCUUUAUACUGAAUUUUAAUUCCUUGAGUGUUGGAUUUUCCACAAAAAAAGCAGAGUUGCUAUUCUGAACUCUCACAGAAGUUUCAGUGUAGAACUCUACAUGUUUUUUGUUUUAUUUUUCCUGAGAUAAUUUUGUUUUUAAUUAAUCUUGUACUCAUAGUUGAUACUAAAACAGGGCUAACAAAAAGAUGUAUGUUUUCUGUUUAAGACGGAGAAACUCUACAACCAGGGCUCUGCUAGCUAAACGAGCAAAAAGGCUAUGAACAGGAUUUAAAGUUCAUGCUAGCGCGUAAAUACUUCACUGCACUUUGAGGACUGAAGAGUGAAACCAUGUUAAUAUUAACAUCAUUUUGACGAAUAUUGAGACUGUAUGAGCCAUUUUUACCUAUGUUGUUUUUCGUUUUUUGUCACUCGCACAAUCACCACAAGGGGCACUUCAGGUAAACGGGCAGGUAAAUGCUACAAAAGGUGCACCGUCAAAGUAAGUUGUCUGUACCAGUUUUUUUAUUUUAAUCAAUAAAUGGCAAGAAAUAACGCAACAAUAA